CGUGCUGCUUUGUCUUAUUAAAAAGAAAUAAAAUACAUUCACUAGUGUAAUAUUGUAUACCUUUUAAAAAUGUUAUUGGAAAGUGUUUUAUGAUCUGUAAGUCAAAUAAUCCGGCCCCACCAUUUUCAUUUUUCCUGCUAUUCCCCCAAAUCUAGGCUCCUUUGUUCCAGUUGGCAUGUAAACUUGUUUUUUCCACCAAAUGAGUCAGUCAUGAUAGAAGCGUCAAUUGAUUUGAACAGAUGUGUGUCAAUGUUACUUGGAAAAACUAGAUGCCAAUAACCAGGGCCACAGAAAAAGUCAGCAAAUGUAAUUGUGUAAAGCAUUUAUGCAUGCACGCAGACAAGGAGAAAAGUCGAAUCCUAAACAGGA
ensembl:lincRNA predicted gene 28730